rnacentral:lncRNA from 1 species
AUGGGAGCCUCUACAUCCAUGGCAUUAUGGGGACAGUAAGGCCCUUGGACUAAGUUCCUGCAACCUACUCACUGGCCUGCAGGCCCACAGUUUCUAGACUGCUGAAUGAAGACGCAUGCAGCUCCUGUCCCUGUCACUGGUGAGAGACACAGCCAGCUGUUGUCUCAGGCUGGCCCCUCAGCCUCCUGGACACCAGCUCACAGAUCAAUCAGUUCCAGCACUUCCCACUGCGCUUCUCGAGUUUCACACCAUGGGGAUGAUGUCAU